GAACAUAAGGGUGAUCUGUAUAUGGCAUCGUUCAGCCAAUGAUUGCCAGGACUGGUUCAGCUGCUCUGGUUGGCUAGGCAGGUGUCCCCGUCUUGCCUCACUGACUCCAAAUUUUGUUCUCUUAAAAAAGAGUGGCUUUCCUGAACAGAAGAGAACUGAUCUUUGGUUAUGCUAUUAGUUCUAGUUUCCAGGCUACAGCUACCAAAUAGACUGUCAAGAACAAAUGUUACUGACUAAUAUAAAAUACAAUAAUAAAUAUAUAAAUAUAAACAUUAAUAU
rnacentral:snRNA from 1 species